rnacentral:lncRNA from 1 species
GUGUCCCGCAGGUGUUCAGUGGAGUCUCCGGGCAGGAGUUCUCAGCACAGAGGCAGCUGCUGUAGUUCCCGCAGCGGAUCCGUCUCCUCCACCGCCAGCAUCUCCAAAUCACCCAGCAGAUCAAGUGCAAAGUGCAGGAACGACAGGCACAAACAGGAAGGAAGUCACUCCAGCCACAGCCCACCGCCGUCCCCCACCACUGACCAGCCAAUCACGUGGCAGAAUGGGAACCACAGCAUCCGUGUACGCAAUGGCAAAGAUUCAGAAGCCAAUCACACGGAGGGGAAUAAAGGGAACGAUGUAUGUAGUCUCCUCUACUUUACCUUCAUCUGUUCUCUGCCGUUUACACUAAUAAUCCCUCAAACACUCUCUCUCUCACACACACACACACACACACACGCCAACUGAUUCAGUCAUAUCUGUGUGAGCUGACUCUAUAUCUCUUUUCCCUCUUUGGCUCCAUUUCGUGAGUUUUUCUGUUCUCAAGCCAUUUAUGUGUUUGUUGGGAAGGGUUUUUAUUUUGUCGAGACAGAUGUCCAUUAUUUUCUUUCUGUAAUAAUGUCAUGCUUUAUUUCACACACAAGCCAUUUUUCUUACAAUGGAAACUAAAAUAUAACCAAUUGUUGAGCAUGUGGGAUUUCAUGGAAGCACCAGCUCCAUCCCGAAGGCACAAACUGACGGUUGUGGCAUCUUGCGACAAUUUUUUACAUAAAGCAUCUAUUGCUAAUAAUUCAAUCGCUGGUGUUGGAUAACAUCCCACGAAAGAGACAUUUGAUGCCUCAACCAGUUAAAUUAAAGAUAUUUUGGUAACACUUUUGCUUCAUUUGUUAACAUUAGUUAACUAAAUUAGUUAACAUGAACUAACAAUGAACAAAGUAAAUGGGUGCCGUCAGAAAGAGAGUCCAAACAGCUGAUAAAAACAUCACAAUAGUAAUCCACACAACUCCAGUCCAUCAGUUACUUAUCUUUAGAAGCC